ACUAAUACCGUAUACGCCCUAUGGGGAAAAAUUUAUUGCUAUUAGAUGAGCCUAUAUUAGAUUAGCUAGUUGGUGGAGUAAUAGCCUACCAAGGCAAUGAUCAAUAGCUGAUCUGAGAGGAUGAUCAGCCACACUGGAACUGAGAUACGGUCCAGACUCCUACGGGAGGCAGCAGUGGGGAAUAUUGGACAAUGGGCGAACGUGAUCCAGCCAUGCCGCAUGAGUGAAGAAGGCCUUUGGGUUGUAAAGCUCUUUUAGUGA
rnacentral:rRNA from 1 species